CAGGGGCUUAAUAGCCCGGGGAGUCCCAGGGGCCAUCGUGAAUGUCUCCAGCCAGGGCUCCAAGCGGGCAGUAACUAACCAUAGCGUCUACUGUGAGUGCCCCAGCUGUGUCCUCAGCCCCACCCCAGCCCCAGCCUCACCCUCAUCACCCACCCCAGCCCCAGCCAGCUUGGGUUCCUCUUCAUAGGCUCCACCAAGGGUGCCCUGGACAUGCUAACCAAGGUGAUGGCCCUAGAGCUCGGGCCCCACAAGGUGAGCAGGGCUGGGGUACCUCCCCCAACCUAGGCCACCCCACUUGCCCUGCUGACCCCAGCUGUCCCGGUAUAGAUCCGAGUGAAUGCAGUAAACCCCACAGUGGUGAUGACGCCCAUGGGCCAGGCGGCCUGGAGUGACCCCCACAAAGCCAAGACUAUGCUGGACCGAAUCCCACUUGGCAAGUUUGCUGAGGUAGAGCACGUGGUGGACGCCAUCCUCUUUCUGCUGAGUGACCGAAGCGGCAUGACCACGGGUUCCACUAUGCCGGUGGAAGGGGGCUUCUGGGCCUGCUGAGCUCCCUCCACACACCUCAAACCCCAUGCCGUGCCUAUCCUACCCCCAAUCCCUCCAAUAAACCUGAUUCUGCUGCCCA
rnacentral:sRNA from 1 species